AUUGAACGCUGGCGGCAGGCCUAACACAUGCAAGUCGAGCGGAUGAAGGGAGCUUGCUCCUGGAUUCAGCGGCGGACGGGUGAGUAAUGCCUAGGAAUCUGCCUGGUAGUGGGGGAUAACGUCCGGAAACGGGCGCUAAUACCACAUACGUCCUGAGGGAGAAAGUGGGGGAUCUUCGGACCUCACGCUAUCAGAUGAGCCUAGGUCGGAUUAGCUAGUUGGUGGGGUAAAGGCCUACCAAGGCGACGAUCCGUAACUGGUCUGAGAGGAUGAUCAGUCACACUGGAACUGAGACACGGUCCAGACUCCUACGGGAGGCGGCAGUGGGGAAUAUUGGGCAAUGGGCGAAAGCCUGACCCAGCCAUGCCGCGUGUGUGAAGAAGGUCUUCGGAUUGUAAAGCACUUUAAGUUGGGAGGAAGGGCAGUAAGUUAAUACCUUGCUGUUUUGACGUUACCAACAGAAUAAGCACCGGCUAACUUCGUG
rnacentral:rRNA from 1 species